UUGGCUCAGAACGAACGCUGGCGGCAGGCCUAACACAUGCAAGUCGAACGGUAGCACAGAGAGCUUGCUCUCGGGUGACGAGUGGCGGACGGGUGAGUAAUGUCUGGGAAACUGCCUGAUGGAGGGGGAUAACUACUGGAAACGGUAGCUAAUACCGCAUAAUGUCGCAAGACCAAAGAGGGGGACCUUCGGGCCUCUUGCCAUCGGAUGUGCCCAGAUGGGAUUAGCUAGUAGGUGGGGUAAUGGCUCACCUAGGCGACGAUCCCUAGCUGGUCUGAGAGGAUGACCAGCCACACUGGAACUGAGACACGGUCC
rnacentral:rRNA from 1 species